UGAGCAAUCUGCCCUUCUCAUCGGAAUAACCAUUGGAAACGAUGGCUAAUGCCGAAUAUGACCUCGGAUCAUAUGUUCUGAGGUGGAAAGCUCCGGCGGAGAAGGAUGAGCUCGCGGCCUAUCAGCUUGUUGGUGAGGUAAUGGUUCACCAAGGCAUUGACGGGUAGCCGGCCUGAGAGGGUGACCGGCCACACUGGGACUGAGACACGGCCCAAAUCCGUACGGG
rnacentral:rRNA from 1 species